rnacentral:rRNA from 1 species
CCCUUAGAUGUUCUGGGCCGCACGCGCGCUACACUGAAGAAGUCAGCGAGCAUGUCCUACGCCGACAGGUGCGGGGAAUCUUGUCAAACUUCGUCGUGAUGGGGAUUGAUUAUUGAAAUUCUUGAUCAUCAACGAGGAAUUCCUAGUAAGCGCAAGUCAGCAGCUUGCGUUGAUUACGUCCCUGCCCUUUGUACACACCGCCCGUCGCUACUACCGAUUGAAUGGUUUAGUGAGAUCUUCGGAUUGGCGCCACUGCGGCUCAGCAAUGGGCUCGGUGGAUGCCGAAAAGUUGAUCAAACUUGAUCAUUUAGAGGAAGUAAAAGUCGUAACA